GACGUAGGGCGCGAGCGUGUCCGGAUUUAUUGGGCGUAAAGAGCUCGUAGGCGGCUUGUCGCGUCGUCCGUGAAAACCCGCGGCUCAACUGCGGGCUUGCAGUCGAUACGGGUUGGCUGGAGUUCGGUAGGGGAGACUGGAAUUCCUGGUGUAGCGGUGAAAUGCGCAGAUAUCAGGAGGAACACCGGGUGGCGAAGGCGGGUCUCUGGGCCGAUACUGACGC
rnacentral:rRNA from 1 species